rnacentral:misc_RNA from 1 species
GGAUCCUUCGGGUUAUUAAAUAGCCCUCCGGAAUCUUGCUAUUUAUGAGUAUUAAACGUAGAUUACUGACAAAAUCAAUUCCAUAAACCCUAGGCUAUUUUGCGAGACGAAUCUAACGAGGUAUAUUAAUCUAUGAUUAGCGGAUGAUUACUGUAGCAAAUCAUGGAUUAAUAUAACUCGUUAGAUUCGUCUCACAAAAUAGCCUAGGGAUUAUGGAAUGAGUUUUGUCAGUAAUCUACGUUUAAUACUCCUAAAUAGCAAGAUUUUGGAGAGCUAUUUAAUAGCACGAAGCAUCCAAAC